UAGAGGUCACCGUGACCCAAAACUUCCUGCGUUCUCAGGCCUGGCAACGCCUGCCAAAGCUAGCCAUGGUGGGGGUAGGGGAGCGCCGCUUGUGGGGAGCUGACCAAGUGUGGUGUCGGCCGCCCUGCCUGCCAACAGACAGCAACACUGGUUUUCCACUGCCGGCCAUUCAUUGGACUUGGACAGCUUUGUUCCUUCUCUGGGACCAAGUCAACAAGCUGGGACCAGAGGAGCUGCGGCUGUAGCACGCAGGGACCGAACAAAAGAGCAAAUAUACAGAUAUCCCUGGAAGCCAGAGUUCUUGGAAGGAAGAAAUACACAUACAGAAUGGGAGAAGGCAAGGAAAAACCCUGCCUUCCUUCAUCCCCUCAACCCUCAGCUUUGUGGCCUCUAUCUUGGACUGUCAAAGGCCAGUUUAAACAAUGGUCACACAGAGAUUCACACUUCUCGCAAGCCCCAACUCAAUCUCCUGCCAUGUUUUUCAGGUAAUUGCCUUUGCUCCUACUAACUUUAGAUUGGUUGGAAUAUCUCCUUUUCAAUAAUGUAAGAUUCUGGAAUACCUAGAUGCUCAGCUAUCUUAGAUUUCAAGCUGUAGCCACGAAGAAUUUUUUUAAUAAAACUGUCGUAUUGUUCUCUUUCUCUCUCUUUCUUACUAUACGUUGAUUUAAAUUUUUAUUGAAAUCAUUUGGAUUCAAAUGCAAUUGUGAGAAAUAAUACAUAUAUCCUUAAGAAACCUUACCCAGUUUCUCCAGUGGUAACAUUUUGCAAAACUAUACUAUCAUAGCACAAUCAGGAUAUUGACAUUGAUACGAACUGGCAAUCGUAAUCAAAUAUCCCCAGAGAAGGGGACUUAUACUUAUUUUUAUGCACAUUCAUGAGUGUGUGUGUUUAGUUCUAUUCAAUUUUAUUACAUGUAUAGGUUCAUAUAGCCAUCACCACAGACAAGGUACUGAACAGUUCCCUCAUCCAAGGGUUCCUUGUGUUGACCUUUCAUAAUGAUACUCACCCCUCUCCUGCCUAUACCUCUUUCAUCACGACUCCCUGGCAACCACUUAUUUGUCCUCCAUUUCUAACAUUUUGUCAUUUCAUAAGCGUUAUAUAAAUUAAAUCAUACAGUAUGUAACUUGAAAUUAUUUCUGUCAGUCGAAUUCACUGGACAUUCUUCCAAGCAGUGUGUAUUUCUUAUUGUUUUUCCUUUUUUUCUUUUUUUGAAAUGGAGUCUCGCUCUGUCACCAGGCUGGAGUGCAGUGGCGUGAUCUCUGCUCACUGCAACCUCCACCUCCCAGGUUCAACCGAUUCUCCUGCCUCAGCCUCCCGAGUAGCUGGGACUACAGACACGUGGCACCACCACAUCCAGCUAAUUUUUGUGUUUUUAGUGGAGACAGGGUUUCACCAUGUUGGCCAGGAUGGUCUCGAUCUCUUGACCUCGUGCUGGUAUUACAG
rnacentral:lncRNA from 10 species